GUGCUUCCCUCUAGAAGCUCAUACGCUUAACUUGGAAAAAUAAAGAAAAUUAAUAUGGUCCAUGCACAAGAAUGCCAUGUAAAUUCUUGAAGCAAUCAAAAAAUGU